rnacentral:rRNA from 1 species
GCUCGAGUGGCGAACGGGUGAGUAACACGUGAGUAACCUGCCCUUGACUUUGGGAUAACUUCAGGAAACUGGGGCUAAUACCGGAUAGGAGCUCCUGCUGCAUGGUGGGGGUUGGAAAGUUUCGGCGAUUGGGGAUGGACUCGCGGCUUAUCAGCUUGUUGGUGGGGUAGUGGCUUACCAAGGCUUUGACGGGUAGCCGGCCUGAGAGGGUGACCGGCCACAUUGGGACUGAGAUACGGCCCAG